rnacentral:rRNA from 1 species
AUGGUGCGAGGUCGUCAGGGCGGCGGCGGGCGCAAGCGGCAGGAGAGGCGUCUGCCUGAUUUCCCUCCACGUGAAGAUGACAAGUCAGUGAAGAAAUACCUACAUGGUAGGGUCAAGAAAGCUGAGCUCGAUGAUUACAGAUUACCGACCAUAUUUGAGAUUGAGGAGCCACAAGUCGUCCAGAGGAACCGUGGUCUGGUGACCAUCUAUAACAAGAUGGGUCAACUGCGCCGGAGGUUCUAUAAGCUGAUGAUUGAGGGUCGCCAGGGGUCUAAAGAAGGAAAUUUCAUCAAGGAUAAACUAAAAGUCUUUCUGAAGGAAGUAAAGAUCCUCCAGGAUCAGGUCAAGAAACUGCGUGGAGUGGAUGGUUACUUCAAGAUGCCACCUGUCCUUGCGGAGGACCUGGUUUUGUUGAAGUAG